rnacentral:lncRNA from 1 species
UCCACUGUAGGGUUCUCUAUGUAUUUAGUCCGUUCACCAUUUCCCAGGAUGCUUAGUAAACUUUCAUUUAUUUAGAUUCUCACCAUGUAAACAACCAUUAAAGCAUACCAAUAUCUCAUUUUGUAUUAACAUAUUAAUUCAAAUGGUACUUAACAAGCGUUAUAGUUUGGCAUAGCUAAAUAACCAAUAACCAGAAUACUGGAUAAACAUUGCAGGAAAAACCAAAUAACCAAAUAACCGAGAAUGCCAUUAAAACUAUCAAUUUAAUUACGCACAGUAUAAUAGUAAGCAAAUAUGGCCAGUGCAGGAAAAUAAACAGGGAAUCAGGACAAAUGUGAACUAAGCGGUUCCAACUCCACUAGUGACCCUAUAAUAUUUUUAGGAUUUUUCUAAUUUUUCACAAAAUACACAAUUAUCGAUUAUUAAUCUUUAAUUUAUCGUAAUCAAGAAUAAAGUGAGGGAUCCUUACCCGAAUCGAUGUUUCAAGACGCUGCACUGUCUCCUAACGGGUCUCGGGUUUCCUGAAAUUUUUUGUGAGAAUCCAAAAUACUUGUCACGUACCUAAAAAUACCCCAAAAAAUUCAAAAUCGGUGUUGAAAACAUUUUUCGGUCAAUUUUAGGGUUCUGACACGGCGGCGGCACCGUGCUCCGGCCUUGGCUCUGCUGUCGGUGGCAGCGAUUCGACUUAGCUUGGCCAGUUUUGGCUAGUUUUACACGUAUCUCUGUGGAAAAAUACGUUAGGAGGUCUCAGAUGGGUAGAAAAAUCACAAAA